AUACGUAGGUGGCAAGCGUUGUCCGGAUUUACUGGGUGUAAAGGGCGUGUAGGCGGAGAUGCAAGUCAGGAGUGAAAUCUAGGGGCUCAACCCCUAAACUGCUUUUGAAACUGUAUCCCUUGAGUAUCGGAGAGGCAGGCGGAAUUCCUAGUGUAGAGGUGAAAUGCGUAGAUAUUAGGAGGAACACCAGUGGCGAAGGCGGCCUUCUGGACGACAACUGAAGCUGAGGCGCGAAAGCGUGGGGAGCAAACAGGAUUAGAUGCCCUUGUAGUCCACGCUGUAAACGAUGAAUACUAGGUGUGGGGGGACUGACCCCCUCCGUGCCGCAGGUAACAGAAUAAGUAUUCCACCUGGGGAGUACGAUCGCAAGAUUGAAACUAAAAGGAAUUGACGGGGG
rnacentral:rRNA from 1 species